AGGGAUCGGCUGGUGGACAGUACGAAACAACCGGACUUGUGGAAGAUGUCGUCCAAGAGACACCGGUGACGAUGUACAUAGCAAGCAAUGAACUCAUGAAGUCAAAUCCUGCUAUGUAUGUGCUGAGGGAGAGAAUAAGAAAGAGUCUUCAAUUUUCCCUUUAUUUCGCUUUUAGCUCUAGUUUUCUUGCAAUUAUGGCAUAACUGCGCAGCAUCACAACUUCGAAGACUUGAAUGAAAAUGGAUUAUAAUCUGCAGGUCAUCCACAGAAGUGUACGGGCAGGACAAAAGCGUCUUGGGCAGCUAGCCAAGUGGAAAACAGCCGAGGAGGUUGCUACACUAGUUCGAUCACUUCCCGUUGAAGAGCAACCAAAGCAAAUUAUUGUGACAAGAAAGUGUAUGUUGGAAGUCCAUGUGUCAUUCCAAGCUUGCUUGAAGAUUGACAAGUUUUCUCUCAAGGCUACGGAACCGCAGAUGGUUCUUUAUAACAUAUACGAUGACUGGUUGAAAAGUAUCUCGUCCUACACUGCAUUCUCUCAUCUUGUGCUUAUACCACGAGCAUCACAUGUCAAUAAUGAGAAGGCCAAGAUGUUGCUGAAGCCCGACAAGGCAAUGGUUACGGAACCGCAUCAUAUCUGGGCCAUCAAUCUUUGACUGAUGAGUAGUGUCUGAAGGUGGAAUGUGCGCUCAGGGUCUCACUCUUUCAGAUUAUGGAAAGAAAAACAAUGUUAAUACUUCUGCUCCACCGUCACAGCAGAGGCAACAGAUAGCCGAGAUUGAGAAACAGUUUAUUUCAUGGCAAAGAAGAUUGGUUAUAUGAACUUAUAUCAGAGAAGUGCACCUACGUAGAAUCUAGGGACACAGGAUGCAGGUUUCCUGUAUGGGCAGGAUAAUCACCAAGUGGAGAUGAGAUGCAUAUCCAUUCCGCCACAGCAUGGUGAGUUGGCCGGCAAAUCUCCCAGAUCAUGAGUUCCUUGCUGACUUGGAGCCGUUGGGACCCAGACGAAUGAAGCUCCUCAGCUACCACCUCAGGAUUUGACAUCAGAUGCUAAAAUUUUGGAGAGAAGAACAAGCAGUGGGAUGGUGACAAGUGCAUCAUUUUGACCUGUCGGUGAACAUCUUCAGUCAGUGGUUAUGCUUGCGAGAACAAAAAACCUAUCGUGGUCAGUGGUCAUUGCUUGUCAAACUAAAUCGUUAUCGUCAAGCAGAUGUUUUGCUUGGUGUUGUCAUCUUUGUCUCGUUGUUGCUUUGUGAUUUGAGCUGCUUUGUUGAAGCAUCUGGUUGCUCUUGUUCUUAAGAUUGGACUAGUUGCAGAUUUAUGUUGCUAGAUUGGAUUACUUGCAGAUUUCUGAGAGCAAAUCAAUUGUUCUGGGCCUGGGGAUGGUGAUGCCUUGAAGAGUGUGGUCAAAACGAGCCAGGAGAUCACCAUCCCCACGCCCUAUCAUUUGAUCAUCAAUAGAACACUGCAGCAUCAACAUAACUUUUAACCAUCUUGGCACUGACGAUGAUGCCUCACACCUAGAGAUAGACGCAAGGAAAUAAGACUGCUGUUGGAUCAUAUCAAUAUGAGCCUCCUUUCUGAUCUUAUGCACAAUCCUUCACAGUACAGGACUGCCUUUGCUGUUCUGAGCCUUGUUGCGUGCGUGCGUGUUUCUUCUUCUUUUUGACUACAGUUGUUUUGUCAGUAACUUGGAUUAUGAGGCAAUGGAUGGUUUCAACUCACUAUAUCUUGCGGAUACUUUGAGUGCCUCAAAGCACUGGUUUGUCGAUAUAUUACUGUUAGACAUUCAAAUGUACUAGAUUAAGUAAGGGAAAGAAAGGCAACUUACCAAGCAAAGCGUUGUACGAAAAUGCAGCAGCAGUUGUGGGCAUGUCAAACAAAAUGUAAUUUUGUUUUCAUGUUGUAUCGCUUGUAUUGGUAAACAUGCACACAAACUUGAUGAUUUUGUAUUAUCCUGUAACUUUCUUCAGAUUUUCUUUUUGUUAAAGAACACACUUUUAAUUUUCUAGCAUAGUUGUACUUCACGGAUCAGGUUCAGUCUUGUGACCUUCACAGUUAGUACUAGCUCACGUACCUCAUCAUAGUGGACUGCUCACUUAAACUCUUGGUUAUUACUUAUGUGCACGGUAUCUGAUUAGAUCAUGGCACAUUGUUAUCAUCACAACUAACUCAUCUCCGAGUUGUUUACAUAAAGACCUCAAUCAAUGGCAGUCUCGACUCUACACUGUGGUCUCUGGUAUCGGCUAGCUUCACUGAAUAUUUUUUUUACUGAAGAACAUCCAAGGUACAUGCACAAACCAAACUCUGCUGGCUUCACUGGAUAUUUUUACUCCUGUCAGUUUGCAGUAGAGAGAGAUGCAUAGAUGGUUUUCCUCAGUGUGGUGCUUAUGUGCUUGUCUUGCUGUUUGGUUGUGUAUGGCUCACAAGACCAAAAGCUCUGCAUCAUCCUCUACAAGCAGAACAGAACCACCAUGGUUGUGUGCCGCUGGCCGCCGAGUACCAAUUCUACUACGAUGAUUUCCACCGAGGGUGUGGGUGUCGUCUACGUUAGCUCAGGUGUUGGCUUGUUUUUUUGAUCAAGAUCAACUCUUGGAAGCUCUAGAAGGUUGACGAGUAUGGGUUCUACUUUAGUGUCCUACCCUACACGAGCUUCUGUACUCUAGGCAUUUCAACAAGUGACUACAUACGGAGCAAAAUGAGUGAAUCUACACUCUAAAACAUGUCUACAUACAUCCGUAUGUAAUAGUCAUUUAAAAUGUCUAGAAAGACAAAUAUUUAGGAACGGAGGGAGUAGUUGGUUCUGAUUCCUGAACAAUUAUCCAUACAAUGGUGUAUGCUUGUGAAAACUGAAUAUGUGGCAUGUGAAAGAGGAAUGCAAUUUUGUUUUCAUAUUUUAACUCCGAAGGACCAUGACUUGCAUCAGUUGUUCUGGUAAACGUGAACAAAACUUGAUGAUCUUGUAAUAUCA